rnacentral:lncRNA from 1 species
GAUUCCCAAAUAGGUCAACCUUUUAAACUGCCUGCUGAAUCCAUGAGCAGGCAAGAGACAACCUGGCGAACUGAAACAUCUUAGUAGCCAGAGGAAAAGAAAGCAAAAGCGAUUCCCGUAGUAGCGGCGAGCGAAAUGGGAGCAGCCUAAACCGUGAAAACGGGGUUGUGGGAGAGCAAUACAAGCGUUGUGCUGCUAGGCGAAGCUAUACGUACUAGUUUUCUUGGUUUUGGGAAGGUUAUGUAAGGUUUUGCACUAUUUUGUUUUGUGUGUUUCUUUGUCGGUUUCUCAAGUCUUUUUGGGUUACUAUUUUCCUUUUAAUUGUUUUUAUUCUAUAUUAAAUUUUUAAUUCAUAAGAUUAAUAAAAACAACACCUUUUGAAAUCUACGAGUAGUUUUUAUAUAACCAACCUUUACAAAUUUCAGGAAUAUUUUUUUGAUUCAUUAACAAUUUUUUGAAGUCAUGGUUGUUUUUUUAUUUCUAAAUAUUUUUCAAGUUCAUGAAUAUUUUUCAAAUUUGUGAUAUUUUUAAAAUUCUCAAAUACUUCAUAUUUUUUUAUUCAAGUGUAUGUUGUAUAACUCAUGAAUAUUUUUCUAAAUCUGUUAUCUUUUCCUAAAUUCGUAAACAUUUUUCUAAAUUCACAAAAAACAAAUUCAUGAAAAUAAAUAUGAAGAUAAACAAUACCAAGUCACUAUCCUUAUAUCCAUCAUUAGAUAUAUUUUCAUAAUCUAGUCAUUCAAUAUUAUAGUUGUUGAUAUUUUCUUCUAUAUAUUUGGUCAAAUUUAGAGAGAGUUGGCUUUUUGACUGAAAUUUGUACAACAUCUAUUUGGGGACAGAGGGAGUAGUGAAUAGUGUUUGUACUGUAAAGGAUUUGCAGUCCGUGAGUCAAGUUACUCUGUGUUUUUUAACAUAGUACAGACGCAAGCGCUCAUACAUACGCGCAUACACUCAACCCUAUGAACGCACACAUGCACACCCUACCCAUAUGAGCACCUUCGAGAGACUGAGCGGCAUAUCAUCUUGAUAUUUACGAAGUCACUGUAGACUCGUCGUCGUCGACGGGAACGUCUCUUCUCACUGAAAGCGCAUCGCCGGAAAUCCUGAAAUAAAUUCAGGAAUAAAGCGAGCACCAGGACUUGAACCCUGGUGGGCUGGGGAUACCACUGCCCGUCUAACCAUCGAACCAUAUGGGGUGUGGAUGCACCUAUGAGUCAUGGACAGCGGGAAUCUAAUUUCGCUAGAAAACCCUCACUCUGCAGUAAUGGGCCAACCGAUUCCCAAAUAGGUCAACCUUUUAAACUGCCUGCUGAAUCCAUGAGCAGGCAAGAGACAACCUGAUGAACUGAAACAUCUUAGUAGGCAGAGGAAAAGAAAGCAAAAGCGAUUCCCGUAGUAGCGGCGAGCGAAAUGGGAGCAGCCUAAACCGUGAAAACGGGGUUGUGGGAGAGCAAUACAAGCGUUGUGCUGCUAGGCGAAGC